UAGUAUAUAGACGAGACACCUGAGAUGAGUUAUUUGAAGAGUGAGGAAAGUCAGUAGAGGACCUGGAGACAAUCCCACUGAAUGACGGCAACCAGGAGCACACCAUCCAGUUUGGGUCAAAACUUGAUUAGGUAAUCAAACAACGUCUCAUCUCUUUUUUGUAGAAAAAUAUGGAUGUGUUCGUCUGGACUCCAAUGGAUAU
rnacentral:lncRNA from 1 species